CUCAUGGACCGACAUCCAAGGGGUUGUCAUCGUGAGAUUGUCAUCGUCACCCAGCUUCACAAGAGGUUUGAAGAGGUGGCGUUACAGAUCAACUUUGUGGUGUCCCCUUGGCCCACAGAUUCAUGCCUGCUUCCUGCACGUGCUUGCUGGACAUCUCCCAGAGCUAGCCCUUGUUACCACCUUCAGGGGGCACACAGUAGGAGGUCAGUAACAGUACUCUGGAAGACCCAAUGAGUUGAUGACUGGGGCAGACCAGCGUUUCCUGGAGCAGCGUUUGCCAAUCUUUCCGGGGAUUCCACUGAAGAUAGUGCAUUGCAUCUAAUCAUCAGUCUCCUCUGGGACUGCUGUGAAGUGUAAAAGAAGAAGGAAGACUGAGGAGAAGCCAUUGUACAGCGAUCAGAAACAAAAAAAUCUGGUGGGAUUGUUAAGGAGCAUUUGCAUUCUCAGGAUCAACAAGUUUGGGGGGUUAUCCAGACUCCUAGUGUGGUCCAGCGCCCAGCGUGCACUGGAGAGUAAGAUUUCACAUAAGAGAACAAAAAAAAAUUCAGUCUGAUAACCACAAGUCAGAAGGACUCGCUUUCGCCUCUGAUCACUAAUGCAUAUGGCCACCGGAAGACCUAUACAAAAAAGUACAAUUCAGCUGACUCAGGAGUCAGAGAAUCUCUUUGCCAAAAGAAGCUUCUGAGUCCCUGCAAAAUCCUCAAUGAAAAGAGGAGGAAACUUCCUGAGAGAAGACUUUCCCAGGGUAAAACAAUGGGUAUGUUUUGGCAGAACUGAGAUUAAACCCAGGUCUUUUAGCUACUGGUUCUGUGCUUUGGGUUGUGCAUGAAGCCUUAUAAAUAAUACUUCGUACUUACAUCUCAACUAACAAAACUUUUAAACAUGAAGUACUAUAGAUUUGAGGCUGUCCAAAUUGUCCUGUUUAAUUUUGAUUUAUAUGUAUCUUUUUUCCAAAAUACUUUUAUGUUAUGAAAUACCUUAAGAGAUUUUUCGGAUGUUGGACUUGCACUUGCAGGCUUACCCCUGCAAAAGGGAAAAUUCUCCUUAUAUUGAAAUAAAAUAAAAAUCUACUGAUAUUGGAUAUUUAUGUUAUCUAAAUAUACUAUAUAAUCUAAUAAGUUUGUGUGUAUGUAUACGUGUUUCUAAUAAAUGCCCAUACAGGUCUAGCAAUAAUAUAUCAUGUGCAAAUUAGUGUCUAAAUCAAUGUUGUGUGGCAAGUGCUGGAGAAAAGGAGCCUAUUUUAUUACAUAAUAAAAUGUUUUUAAUUGUUGGAG